AGCAUAGAUUGGAUGGAAAUGGAGCUAGCUGGUUCCCACAGAAGCUGAGAUGCACAUGCUUCAUAGAGAAACACCAAACUCUAAGCCUGACAAACUACCCUGAAGACUGCUCCUCUCUGGUGGCCACCGUCUGGAUGGCCCAAUAACACUUCCUGGACUAUCUGGACUAUAGAUGCUGAGUGCCUGCUGCCUGUGGGUGAAGUUCUUAGCUACUGAUCCAGUGUCAUGACUGUCUACCACCACCAGACUCCCUACAUGAUGAGUGUAACCCUCUGAAACUGCAAGACCCCAAUUAAAUGCUUUUGAGACAGG
rnacentral:lncRNA from 1 species